ensembl:snoRNA
UGGACCAGUGAUGAGGGUCGUGACGGGAGGAGUCCUGAACGAUGACAACAUCUGAAACUCUGAGGUCCAA